rnacentral:tRNA from 1 species
GGGCGGUUAGCUCAGCUGGCAGAGCGGCGCCUUUACACGGCGUUGGUCGGCGGUUCGAACCCGUCACCGCCCACCA